UAAUGCUCCAGUAAAGAUUUUUCGCAAGAGGAGGAGGAGGAGAGGAGGAAGAAAGAAGACGAAGCACCAGUUUUCUGAAGUUCGUGAGGCUAUUUCCAUUUUGGAUUCUGAACGGAGUUGUGCUACAGAAAAGACCAUGGUUUUGUUUGGUGGGGAGCAGAAGUACGUGAAACUUUCUGACCUAACAUUUGAUGCAUUCGUGAGAGAAGUGUGCCUGAAAUUCAACAUUCCAGAAGGCAGACAUAUCUGAAGGUGUAUGACCAGUCUGAUACAGAAGUUGAUGUAGAUGUUUUUGAAGAAAAAGUGAAUCAGUCACCUGGAACCUUUUGAUUUAUGUUGAGCAACAAAGAUUAUCCUGGUGCUGUUUUACCAUCUUCAUCUUCUAUCACAUCUGAUGAUACUAUCAUUCUGAAUUUCACAAUGUGUGACCCAUCAGAAGAAGAAACCACUGCUGAAGGAAGCCAACCUAAAAGGCCAUGUCACAUAAAUUAUGAGCCGCAAGCGUUGAUAGAGUCUCGACAACAAAGCCUAGUGGUGAGCAUAUCAUGCAAGAGUAUGCAAGAACUAAAUGCUUGACAGAUGCAACCAGAAGACAGAUGAUAAACAUCCUUACAGCUGCAAUAACAGAAGCA